rnacentral:tRNA from 1 species
GCCACCGUAGCUCAGUGGCAGAGCAGCGGUUUCGUAAACCGCGGGCCGUGGGUUCGAAUCCCACCGGUGGCUCCA